rnacentral:rRNA from 1 species
AUUGAACGCUGGCGGCAUGCCUUACACAUGCAAGUCGAACGGCAGCACGGGUGCUUGCACCUGGUGGCGAGUGGCGAACGGGUGAGUAAUACAUCGGAACAUGUCCUGUAGUGGGGGAUAGCCCGGCGAAAGCCGGAUUAAUACCGCAUACGAUCCACGGAUGAAAGCGGGGGACCUUUGGGCCUCGCGCUAUAGGGUUGGCCGAUGGCUGAUUAGCUAGUUGGUGGGGUAAAGGCCUACCAAGGCGACGAUCAGUAGCUGGUCUGAGAGGACGACCAGCCACACUGGGACUGAGACACGGCCCAGACUCCUACGGGAGGCAGCAGUGGGGAAUUUUGGACAAUGGGCGAAAGCCUGAUCCAGCAAUGCCGCGUGUGUGAAGAAGGCCUUCGGGUUGUAAAGCACUUUUGUCCGGAAAGAAAUCCUUGGCUCUAAUACAGUCGGGGGAUGGCGGUACCGGAAGAAUAAGCACCGGCUAACUACGUG